UAGAAACCUCUCCUUAGCAAACACGUUUUAAAACCUUGAGGGAAGCCCAGAAGAGAAAGCUCAAAGAGGACAAUAACUGUUAACGGUGGGCUCGGGCUGUUACAUUUCUUCUCAAGGGGAUAAAGAUGGUCUCCUUUCCGAGGAUUGGAUGAUGACCGUACUGAAAGUUUGUGGUGGUGCAUAUUGAGAUGCCCCCAUUUUUAAUACCUUUUAACUUGUUGCAUCUCAGCAAAGGUUGAAGCAGGAUGAGAUAAAAGGUUUCAUGGCUUACCAUGCCUCCAACAUCAUAACAGCUCGAUCGACCGUGUUUAAUUCUUAGAUAGGCUGUUCCCUUAUGUACUAUUCAAUUCUUCUCUACUGGUUGUUUUGGCUAUCAAGAUCUAAUAAAUGGAACUCUACAGUAAACGGAGUGCUUUAUGGGAGUAUCGCAACGUGAAAGUCAGCACUCGGUCGUCUUCAACUCCGUCUCGAAAGCUAAGUAAGCAAAAUUCCAAUUCUCUAGCUUAUGUACUUGGAAAAAUGCAUAUCAUCCAUACAUUUAUAGCAUUAUCUUCAUGUCAGUGUGAACUGAAGCCCUGCAAUAGUUCUCAUAAUGAAUGAAAAAAGUCGGUUCGUUUCGAAAGGCAUUCUCUAUCUGAUGAGGAUGAGAACUAGCUAUGAAUCGGGAUCGAAAACAUAAUUAGUCAUAACUCGUAGAACAACCAGCUUAAAUCCUCAACCAAGACUGCUUUUAAGGAAAAAUCAAAUAGAUGCUCCGAGGCUCUGAAGAUGCGUAUAGUACCUAGAUGAUAUCAUUAUAGCUUCAAUUUUUUGUUCAUUAGUUAUAGACUGGCAUUCGGAAAACUCUGUUCUUUAUGUGUCUGAAGAUCUAUGGGGGGCCUCAAACAGGGUGUGGCUAUAGCGUCUUGAUGAUGCCACUGUUACCAGUUUCGUCUCUGCAUGUUAUUGUCUUAGAUAUUAAACUACCGCCAUGUGCUCGAGGGUGGAGCUAUCUUUUCCUACAGUCAAGUUCAAAUUUAAUGAUGAGCUUAUACUUAUAUUCUUGAUUUGGAUGUUAUCUCGAGAUUUGAGUGCACCAUUAUUAGUUGUAAAAUGAAAUUCUAUAAGUUCACCGCUAGCAAGUAUUAUCUUAAGUUUCUGUU